rnacentral:rRNA from 1 species
AUAUUAAUAAGCGGAGGAAAAGAAACUAACAAGGAUUCCCCUAGUAACGGCGAGUGAAGCGGGAAGAGCUCAAGCUUAAAAUCUCUGCGCAAGUUUUGCGUGGCGAAUUGUAGUCUAUAGAAGCGUGGUCAGCGCGAGCGCUUGGGGUAAGUUCCUUGGAAGAGGACAGCAUGGAGGGUGAUACUCCCGUUCAUACCUGAGUGGCUUGUGCGUACGACCCGUUUUCUUUGAGUCGCGUUGUUUGGGAAUGCAGCGCAAAGUAGGUGGUAAAUUCCAUCUAAAGCUAAAUAUUGGUGCGAGACCGAUAGCGAACAAGUACCGUGAGGGAAAGAUGAAAAGAACUUUGAAAAGAGAGUUAAAGAGUACCUGAAACUGCUGAAAGGGAACCGAAUCGUUUCCAGUGUCUAUAAUCUGUGGCAUAUUUCAUUGGCGAGUGUAUGCGUGCGUGUGCUUUGGCAGUGGCUUUUUUGGCUGCGCUGGGUGCGUGUUGUGCGUGUGUUUGCUGGUGCCCUGUGCUAUGGUGGGACGUCAAGGUCAGUUCGUGUGCUGCGGGAAAUGGCUGCUGAGGAGGUAGGGCUUACGCUUUGCGUUUGUCUAUUAUAUCUUGGUGGACGAGUCGUCGCGGUUGGGACUGAGGUGCCUACAACGUGCUUUUGAGUCUGUGGAACUCUCUGUGUGCGUGCUGUGUGGAUAGCUUGCUAUGUGCGUGGUGCUGUGCGUGGAUUGAGGUCUGCUGUAACUUGUUGCCGUUCGGGACGUUGACGAAAUGGAGCGAUCCGACCCGUCUUGAAACACGGACCAAGGAGUCUAACAUGUGU